GGGUUUGAAAGGAGAGCUCUGCUUCCUCAUACAUACUCAUCUUUUCUAUGGAUAAGUAUGAGGAAAUGGAGCUCUCCUUCCAUUCCA
rnacentral:pre_miRNA from 1 species